AACCUAGCACACCUGCGGUGUGUACCUGCGGAGGGAUCAUUACAGAGUGUAAAAACUCCCAAAACCCAUGUGAACAUACCUUUUUGUUGCUUCGGCGGGAUCGCCCCGGGCGCCUUGUGUGCCCCGGAGUCAGGCGCCCGCCGGGGGACCCAAACUCUUGUUUUUAACGAGUAUCUUCUGAGUAACGUUUUUAAAUAAAUAAAAACUUUCAGCAACGGAUCUCAGAUCGGAAGAGCACAC
rnacentral:misc_RNA from 1 species